GGUGUCCUGAAAAGGUAUUACUACUGCCACCGCUCUGGAUCAUUUCAGAGCAAGAGAUGAGACUUCUCCAAAACCUAGGGUAAUCCCUCACAACAAAAAGAUGGAAAAACAACCACGGUACUUUCCCCCCCAAAAAACGCCCUGGUUCUGGUCCCAUGCAUGGCAAACCUCCCACCAGCUUGGAGCAGCAGCACAUCAUGCAGGGCCUUGUAGCCAGGUGAGUUCCUACAGAAGGAGCAGCAUCCGCUCAGCUCCAUGUGGAUGUUCCGAGCAUGUCUGUGCUGGCCCUCAAGGAGCAUGACUACUUUGCAAAUCAGUAGUCGUGACAAUUGGACUACAAAAAAGGGGCAGUAUUCUUCUUGCAAAAAGGAAUGGCGUGUUGGACAGCUUGGAUUUCUUUCCACUUUGGAGAAUGUCACGAGAGGCUCGAGCUAAAGGCAAGAGGGGCAUCUCUUACCAUCCUCCAACAGGUUACGUUAGGCGAGGCAUUAUAUGCUGACCUUAAUCGUAACGCUUUUUUAACAACCGGGGAUUGGCAAUUUUAUUUCAGUUGAUACGGAACGGUUGUCUCUAAAUUAACGGGCAACCAUAGUGCCUCGAAAUGCUUGUUUAUAAGCGUGCCCCUCCAUGAAACCGGCACUCUUUUUUUUAGAUAGUAUUACUGCACGAGAAUGUGCAGCUUUUUCCGCUUUGGAGAAUGUCAAGAGGUGCUCGAGCUCGCCAUUCUCCAACAGGUGGCUUAUGUUAUCAGCUGGUCUUAAUUGGAAAAGUUUUAAUGGCCAGAGCUUGCCAAUUUAAUUUCAAAUUUAUGCAGACAGGUUACCUCUAAGUUAAUGAGUAACCAUAAUACCUCAAGUUGCCUGUUACAUGCUUAUUUUUUAUUUUGCAUACUGCUGCACGGGAAUGUGAAAGUUGCAGUUCCCGCGACAUACCAAAUUAUUUUAGUAUGUGACUUAUAUGCUUUAGGAUAUAAUCGUUUUCUUGCUAAUAAGUGCCUAUAAUCACUGUUUCAUUGUUUUGUGAGCCAAGAGGGAGUGACCACUGGCGACCACAAGCAUGAGGAUCUGCUACAGGAAGCAUAAUCAUGGGCCUUUUAAGGUGGAUUGCAGCAGAUGCUACGAGCCAGCACAACUAAUUCUGUGCUGAGAGUGUGUUGGGCGACCUUCCGGCUUGGCGCAGCAAUGCGCAAUGUCACGUGACACUCUGGCCGGGCGUGAUGGCUUCUAGCAUCAGCUGCGCUCCAUCUUAAUGCGAAAUGGAGUGUGAUUACUAGUAAUGCAUUACCGGUCAGUUGUUACUUUUUCCAAUAG